rnacentral:rRNA from 1 species
AACGCGAAGAACCUUACCUGGGCUUGAACCGCACAGGACCAGCUCCAGAAAUGGGGCCUUCCCGCAAGGGACCUGUGUAGAGGUGCUGCAUGGCUGUCGUCAGCUCGUGCCGUGAGGUGUUGGGUUAAGUCCCGCAACGAGCGCAACCCUUACUCAUAGUUGCUACCCGCAAGGGAGAACUCUAUGAGGACUGCUCCGGAUAACGGAGAGGAAGGUGGGGAUGACGUCAAGUCCUCAUGGCCUUUAUGUCCAGGGCUACACACGUGCUACAAUGGCCGGUACAAACCGUCGCAAACCCGUGAGGGGGAGCUAAUCGGAAAAAGCCGUCCUCAGUUCGGAUUGCAGUCUGCAACUCGACUGCAUGAAGCUGGAAUCGCUAGUAAUCGCGGAUCAGAACGCCGCGGUGAAUACGUUCCCGGGCCUUGUACACACCGCACGA